rnacentral:rRNA from 1 species
AACGUUGGCGGCACGCUUAACACAUGCAAGUCGAACGGCAGCAGGAUUUGGAGUAAUCUAAAUUGCUGGCGAGUGGCGGAAGGGUGAGUAAUAUAUAGGAACAUGCCUAUCAGAAUGGGAUAACUUAGGGAAACUUAAGCUAAUACCAUAUAAUGUUGAAAAACCAAAGGCAAGCAAUUGCGCUGAUUGAGUGGCCUAUAUUAGAUUAGCUAGUUGGUGUGGUAAAGGCAUACCAAGGCAAAGAUCUAUAGCUGGUUUGAGAGGAUGAACAGCCACACUGGGACUGAGACACGGCCCAGACUCCUACGGGAGGCAGCAGUGGGGAAUAUUGGACAAUGAGGGAAACCUUGAUCCAGCGAUGCCGCGUGUAUGAAGAAGGCCUUCGGGUUGUAAAGUACUUUCAGCAGAGAAGAGUAAGUACGUAAGUAUGAAGACGUUAUCUGCAGAAGAAGCGCCGGCAAACUCUGUGCCAGCAGCCGCGGUAAUACAGAGGGCGCGAACGUUAAUCGGAGUGAUUGGGCGUAAAGGGCGCGUAGGCGGUUAUUCAAGUUAAUUGUGAAAGAUUAAAGCUUAACUUUGAAAUGCCAAUUAAAACUGAAUAACUAGAGGUCACUAGAGGGAAGUGGAAUUUUCGGAGUAGCGGUGAAAUGCGUAGAUAUCGGAAGGAAUAUCUGAGGCGAAGGCGGCUUUCUGGGGUGAUACUGACGCUGAGGCGCGAAGGCGUGGGGAGCAAACAGGAUUAGAUACCCUGGUAGUCCACGCAGUAAACGAUGAAUACUAACUGUUUCAGUCAUAAAAGAUUGGAGUGGUGGAGCUAACGCGUUAAGUAUUCCGCCUGGGGAUUACGACCGCAAGGUUAAAACUCAAAGGAAUUGACGGGGACCCGCACAAGCGGUGGAGCAUGUGGUUUAAUUCGAUGCAACCCGAAAAACCUUACCUACUAUUGAUCCUUAGAAUUUUAAAGAGAUUUAAGAGUGCCCGAAAGGGAGCUAAGUGACAGGUGCUGCAUGGCUGUCGUCAGCUCGUGUUGUGAGAUGUAGGGUUAAGUCCCGUAACGAGCGCAACCCUUAUGCUUAAUUACCACCAAGUAAAGUUGGGGACUUUAAGCAAACUGCCGGACAAAAGCCGGAGGAAGGUGAGGACGACGUCAAGUCAUCAUGGCCUUUAUAAGUAGGGCUACACACGUGCUACAAUGGUUAUUACAAAGGGUAGCGAAAGAGCAAUCUGAAGCAAAUCCUAAAAAGGUAACCUUAGUUCGGAUUGCAGUCUGUAACUCGGCUGCAUGAAGCUGGAAUCGCUAGUAAUCGCAAAUCAGCAAGUUGCGGUGAAUACGUUCUCGGGUCUUGUACACACCGCCCGUCAAACCAUGGAAGUGGAUUGUACCAGAAGAAGGUGGAUUAACUUUUCGAAAGGAAAGAGAUUGCCUGCCACGGUAUGAUUCAUGACUGGGGUUAAGUCGUAACAAGGUA